GCGGGUGUAGUUUAACGGUAGAAUGUCUGCCUUCCAAGCAGACGGUACGGGUUCGAUUCCCGUGGCUCGCUCCA
rnacentral:tRNA from 1 species